UGCCGCAUGGCUUAGUUGGCUAUAGCGUCCGACUGUUACUCAAAAUCGUUCCUCAGUUCGAGGGUCGGUUGCGAAACAAAUCGGAAGGUCGAGAGUUCGAGCCUCUCUGGGGCAG
rnacentral:tRNA from 1 species